GGAGCACGAAGGUUGGCUAAGCAUGGUCGGACAUCAUGCGGUUAGUGCAAAGGCAUAAGCCAGCUUGACUGUGAGAGUGACGGCUCGAGCAGGUACGAAAGUAGGUCUUAGUGGAUCCGGUGGUUCUGAAUGGAAGGGCCAUCGCUGCAACGGAUAAAAGGUACUCCGGGGAUAACAGGCUGAUACCGCCCAAGAGUUCAUAUCGACGGCGGUGUUUGGCACCUCGAUGUCGGCUCAGUCACAUCCUGGGGCUGAAGUAGGUCCCAAGGGUAUGGCUGUUCGCCAUUUAAAGUGGUACGCGAGCUGGGUUUAGAACGUCGUGAGACAGUUCGGUCCCUAUCUGCCGUGGGCGUUGGAAGAUUGAGAGGGGUUGCUCCUAGUACGAGAGGACCGGAGUGAACGCACCACUGGUGUUCGGGUUGUCAUGCCAAUGGCAUUGCCCGGUAGCUAA
rnacentral:rRNA from 1 species